AUGGACAUUGACUUUAUAGCUCAAUUCUUAGACCUCGAUGAGCAAGAAGCAACUAGGUAUAACUGGAUCAUUGAUCCUAAAUCCUAAAGCCGCCACUAAAAGAAUGUGCCAUUUCCUUCACGAGCAACAAGCUUUCAAUAUGUCUUCAAUAUCUGGAUCAUCUCCUGCUUCUUUAUCCUUAUGGAUGUAUGAGAUAUUUGUUUUACCAGGACCAGCAACUAUAAUUCCACCUUGCUGCUUUAGGAGUAAAUGUGGUCAAAACCCCGGAAACAAAUUUUAGCGCCUCAUAUGAUGAGUGGUUAGGAUCUGCAUAAACUUCUCCUUUGAAUUUAGUUUGCUCAAAGAAUGUUUUUGCCUGAUCAACGCUGCCAGGUCCAAUCAAAACAAGUGCCACUCCAGAUGCAUCCAUUAUGUCCUUCUUGGCAGCAAGAUAAUCAGCGCGUUUCCUACAAAGGACACAUCCAAAAUGACGUGCAAACGCAACAACAGCUUUCCUAUCUUUCCAUAAAUCGGAAAUUGGGAUUCCAUUUCCGUCCAAAUUGAACACCUUCACUGUGUCCAAUAAAUUCGCAGUGUCCUCACUCACCAAACCCGAAGAUUCAAUUCCGCUAGAUCUCGAGAAUGCAGAGCGGACGAUGGUGUGGCUUUGACGCUUGGGAAGGAAUUUAAUUGCUCUUCGGCGGUGGCCCGUUGAUGCAGCGAGAAAUAGAGGCGUAGAAAUACUCUUGGUGAUGAAGCUGGGUUGGGGCAUUUUCCGCGAGAAAGCAGUGGACUGACAAAUCGCCAUGGCUGGCUUGAUCGGUUACAAGGAGGCAAAGCAGCAUUUUGGCGGUUGG
rnacentral:misc_RNA from 1 species